rnacentral:lncRNA from 1 species
UCAUUUGCAUAUACGUAUACUGUCUGAAAGUUAAUAUGUCAAAAUGUGCUUCAAAAUUCUCCUGGGCCAAAACUUUCUCCAUCAUUAUGCGUUUUGAACAUUUCUAAAUCGGUCCAUGACGGAAAAAACUUUUUCGAUAUGCUCGAAAUUUUCUAAGUGUCAAACUUUAGUUGACUCAAGAUUGAUCUCACGGGUAACGGGUAAGCGUAAUAGAAUUCAUAAUGAUCG